rnacentral:rRNA from 1 species
AAAUUGAAGAGUUUGAUCAUGGCUCAGAUUGAACGCUGGCGGCAGGCCUAACACAUGCAAGUCGAACGGUAGCACAGAGAGCUUGCUCUCGGGUGACGAGUGGCGGACGGGUGAGUAAUGUCUGGGAAACUGCCCGAUGGAGGGGGAUAACUACUGGAAACGGUAGCUAAUACCGCAUAACGUCGCAAGACCAAAGAGGGGGACCUUAGGGCCUCUUGCCAUCGGAUGUGCCCAGAUGGGAUUAGCUUGUAGGUGAGGUAACGGCUCACCUAGGCGACGAUCCCUAGCUGGUCUGAGAGGAUGACCAGCCACACUGGAACUGAGACACGGUCCAGACUCCUACGGGAGGCAGCAGUGGGGAAUAUUGCACAAUGGGCGCAAGCCUGAUGCAGCCAUGCCGCGUGUAUGAAGAAGGCCUUCGGGUUGUAAAGUACUUUCAGCGGGGAGGA